rnacentral:rRNA from 1 species
UGCCAGCAGCCGCGGUAAUACGUAGGUGGCAAGCGUUGUCCGGAUUUACUGGGCGUAAAGAGCGCGCAGGCGGCCAGGUAAGUCGAAUGUGAAAGCCCCCGGCUCAACUGGGGAAGGUCAUUCGAUACUGCUUGGCUUGAAGAUGGGAGAGGGAAGCGGAAUUUCCGGUGUAGUGGUGAAAUGCGUAGAUAUCGGAAGGAACACCAGUGGCGAAGGCGGCUUUCUGGCCCAUUCUUGACGCUGAGGCGCGAAAGCUAGGGGAGCGAACGGGAUUAGAUA